rnacentral:misc_RNA from 1 species
UGUUUCUCCUCACUUCUGGUGAAGCAGCUUCCAUUUAAGAGAAAUCAACAAGCGAUAUCACGAGGAUGAAGAAGGAAGGAGAUUCCGUGGAAACCAGUAUACCUAGAUUCUUCAGAAUUUUCAAGAGAAAAUCUUGCCAAAAACAGAUUGUAGAAAGAAAAAGCUAAGACAAAUAUACAGUUUUCGACCUUUCUUUGAUUUUUACUCUUUCAAGGAUU